rnacentral:rRNA from 1 species
UACGGGGCGCAGCAGCCGCGGUAACUUUGCAAUACACGAAAGUGUGACAGGGCUAUCCCGAGUGCCGUCCGCUGAGGACGGCUUUUACCUAGUAUAGAUAGCUGGGGGAAUAAGGAGAGGGCAAGUCUGGUGUCAGCCGCCGCGGUAA